ensembl:snoRNA Gm26078 small nucleolar RNA SNORA17
AGAGCCCCUAGAAGCUUUGUAGGUGUGGCUGCUGUGUCACAUGUUCUGUAGGUGACAGAAAGGAGAGGCUAUGUCUACACUCAUUGUUCUGAUAUAUGAACAGCUAAAUGAAAAGCAGCUUAUACU